AAAAAAUGCAAACCCUGGUUUCCGUGUCCAACAUUUGACCGUCCGUCUUAUAUUUGAAAAAAUUAUGAAAAAAAUUAAAAAAGACAAGUCAUGUAUAAAAUAUUAAUCAUGUUUUAUCAUCUAACAACAAUGAAAAUACAAAUUAUAAAAAAAUUUCAUAUAAGACGGACAGUCAAAGUUGGACACGGAAACCCAGAGUUUGCAUUUUUU
rnacentral:pre_miRNA from 1 species